rnacentral:rRNA from 1 species
AAAAACAUCGCCUCCUGCUAAACCCUAACGUAUUGGAGGUCUUACCUGCCCAGUGACAUUACUGUUAAACGGCCGCGGUAUUUUGACCGUGCUAAGGUAGCGCAAUCACUUGUUUUUUAAAUGAAGACCUGUAUGAAAGGUGAAACGAGGGCUUAGCUGUCUCCCCCUCCUAGUCAAUGAAUUUGAUCUGCCCGUGCAGAAGCGGACAUAAACCUACAAGACGAGAAGACCCUUUGGAGCUUUAGACAUACGUCAACUGUUCUUAACCCUAAAUUAAAUAGAGCAAAACGAAACAUCACCUGACCAAAGUCUUCGGUUGGGGCGACCAUGGGGAAAAACAAAACCCCCACGUGGAAAAGACUAUUAUCUUUAAACCAAGAGAAAUAUUUCUAAGUCACAGAAUAUCUGACCACAAAGAUCCGGCCAAUUGAAGCCGAUCAACAGACCAAGUUACCCUAGGGAUAACAGCGCAAUCCCCUUCAAGAGUCCAUAUCGACAAGGGGGUUUACGACCUCGAUGUUGGAUCAGGACAUCCUAAUGGCGCAGCCGCUAUUAAGGGUUCGUUUGUUCAACGAUUAAAGUCCUACGUGAUCUGAG